GGCUAGUCCGAUGGUAGUGGGUUAUCAGAAUUUAUUAACAUUAGUGUCACUAAAGUUGGUAUUCAACCCCCCACUGCUAAAUUUGACAGGCAUUAA
rnacentral:Y_RNA from 1 species